GGGCCGGUAACUCAGUGGUAGAGUAGCGCCCUUUUAAGGCGUCUGUCGUGGGUUCGAUCCCCACCCGGCUCACCA
rnacentral:tRNA from 1 species